rnacentral:lncRNA from 1 species
AGGGGCUUCUGCUGAGGGCGCAGGCGGAGCUUGAGGAAACCGCAGAUAACUGACCCAGGUGCUACACAGAAGUGGAUUCAGUGAAUCUAGGAAGACAGCAGCAGACAGGAUUCCGGGAACCAGUGUUUGAUGAAGCUAGGACUGAGGAGCAAGCGAGCAAGCAGCAGUUCGUGGUGAAGAUAGGAAAAGAGUCCAGGAGCCAGUGCGAUUUGGUGAAGGAAGCUAGGAAGAAGGAAGGAGCGCUAACGAUUUGGUGGUGAAGCUAGGAAAAAGGAUUCCAGAAAGGAGCGAGUGCGAUUUGGUGAUGAAGCUAGCAGGCGGCUUGGCUUGGCAACCACACGGAGGAGGCGAGCAGGCGUUGUGCGUAGAUAGAGGAUCCUAGACCAGCAUGCCAGUGUGCCAAGGCCACAGGGAAAACGAGUGGUUGGUAAAAAUCCGUGAGGUCGGCAAUAUGUUGUUUUUCUGGAACUUAUGGUAACCUUUUAUUUAUUUUCUAAUAUAAUGGGGGAGUUUCGUACUGAGGUGUAAAGGGAUUUAUAUGGGGAACGUAGGCCGAUUUCCGGGUGUUGUAGGUUUCUCUUUUUCAGGCUUAUACUCAUGAAUCUUGUCUGAAGCUUUUGAGGGCAGACUGCCAAGUCCUGGAGAAAUAGUAGAUGGCAAGUUUGUGGGUUUUUUUUUUUUUUUUUUUUUUUUUUACGAAUUUGAGGAAAACCAAAUGAAUUUGAUAGCCAAAUUGAGACAAUUUCAGCAAAUCUGUAAGCAGUUUGUAUGUUUAGUUGGGGUAAAUGAAGUAUUUCAGUUUUGUGAAUAGAUGACCUGUUUUUACUUCCUCACCCUGAAUUCGUUUUGUAAAUGUAGAGUUUGGAUGUGUAACUGAGGCGGGGGGGAGUUUUCAGUAUUUUUUUUUUGUGGGGGUGGGGGCAAAAUAUGUUUUCAGUUCUUUUUCCCUUAGGUCUGUCUAGAAUCCUAAAGGCAAAUGACUCAAGGUGUAACAGAAAACAAGAAAAUCCAAUAUCAGGAUAAUCAGACCACCACAGGUUUACAGUUUAUAGAAACUAGAGCAGUUCUCACGUUGAGGUCUGUGGAAGAGAUGUCCAUUGGAGAAAUGGCUGGUAGUUACUCUUUUUUCCCCCCACCCCCUUAAUCAGACUUUAAAAGUGCUUAACCCCUUAAACUUGUUAUUUUUUACUUGAAGCAUUUUGGGAUGGUCUUAACAGGGAAGAGAGAGGGUGGGGGAGAAAAUGUUUUUUUCUAAGAUUUUCCACAGAUGCUAUAGUACUAUUGACAAACUGGGUUAGAGAAGGAGUGUACCGCUGUGCUGUUGGCACGAACACCUUCAGGGACUGGAGCUGCUUUUAUCCUUGGAAGAGUAUUUCCAGUUGAAGCUGAAAAGUACAGCACAGUGCAGCUUUGGUUCAUAUUCAGUCAUCUCAGGAGAACUUCAGAAGAGCUUGAGUAGGCCAAAUGUUGAAGUUAAGUUUUCCAAUAAUGUGACUUCUUAAAAGUUUUAUUAAAGGGGAGGGGCAAAUAUUGGCAAUUAGUUGGCAGUGGCCUGUUACGGUUGGGAUUGGUGGGGUGGGUUUAGGUAAUUGUUUAGUUUAUGAUUGCAGAUAAACUCAUGCCAGAGAACUUAAAGUCUUAGAAUGGAAAAAGUAAAGAAAUAUCAACUUCCAAGUUGGCAAGUAACUCCCAAUGAUUUAGUUUUUUUCCCCCCAGUUUGAAUUGGGAAGCUGGGGGAAGUUAAAUAUGAGCCACUGGGUGUACCAGUGCAUUAAUUUGGGCAAGGAAAGUGUCAUAAUUUGAUACUGUAUCUGUUUUCCUUCAAAGUAUAGAGCUUUUGGGGAAGGAAAGUAUUGAACUGGGGGUUGGUCUGGCCUACUGGGCUGACAUUAAUUACAAUUAUGGGAAAUGCAAAAGUUGUUUGGAUAUGGUAGUGUGUGGUUCUCUUUUGGAAUUUUUUUCAGGUGAUUUAAUAAUAAUUUAAAACUACUAUAGAAACUUCAGAGCAAAGGAAGUGGCUUAAUGAUCCUGAAGGGAUUUCUUCUGAUGGUAGCUUUUGUAUUAUCAAGUAAGAUUCUAUUUUCAGUUGUGUGUAAGCAAGUUUUUUUUUUAGCGUAGGAGAAAUACUUUUCCAUUGUUUAACUGCAAAACAAGAUGUUAAGGUAUGCUUCAAAAAUUUUGUAAAUUGUUUAUUUUAAAUUUAUCUGUUUGUAAAUUGUAACUGAUUAAGAAUUGUGAUAGUUCAGCUUGAAUGUCUCUUAGAGGGUGGGCUUUUGUUGAUGAGGGAGGGGAAACUUUUUUUUUUCUAUAGACUUUUUUCAGAUAACAUCUUCUGAGUCAUAACCAGCCUGGCAGUAUGAUGGCCUAGAUGCAGAGAAAACAGCUCCUUGGUGAAUUGAUAAGUAAAGGCAGAAAAGAUUAUAUGUCAUACCUCCAUUGGGGAAUAAGCAUAACCCUGAGAUUCUUACUACUGAUGAGAACAUUAUCUGCAUAUGCCAAAAAAUUUUAAGCAAAUGAAAGCUACCAAUUUAAAGUUACGGAAUCUACCAUUUUAAAGUUAAUUGCUUGUCAAGCUAUAACCACAAAAAUAAUGAAUUGAUGAGAAAUACAAUGAAGAGCCAAUGUCCAUCUCAAAAUACUGCUUUUACAAAAGCAGAAUAAAAGCGAAAUGAAAUGAAAAUGUUAUACUACAUUAAUCCUGGAAUAAAAGAAGCCGAAAUAAAUGAGAGAUGAGUUGGGAUCAAGUGGAUUGAGGAGGCUGUGCUGUGUGCCAAUGUUUCGUUUGCCUCAGACAGGUAUCUCUUCGUUAUCAGAAGAGUUGCUUCAUUUCAUCUGGGAGCAGAAAACAGCAGGCAGCUGUUAACAGAUAAGUUUAACUUGCAUCUGCAGUAUUGCAUGUUAGGGAUAAGUGCUUAUUUUUAAGAGGUGUGGAGUUCUUAAAUAUCAACCAUGGCACUUUCUCCUGACCCCUUCCCUAGGGGAUUUCAGGAUUGAGAAAUUUUUCCAUCGAGCCUCUUUAAAAUUGUAGGACUUGUUCCUGUGGGCUUCAAUGAUGGGAUAGUACACUUCACUCAGAGGCAUUUGCAUCUUUAAAUAAUUUCUUAAAAGCCUCUAAAGUGAUCAGUGCCUUGAUGCCAACUAAGGAAAUUUGUUUAGCAUUGAAUCUCUGAAGGCUCUAUGAAAGGAAUAGCAUGAUGUGCUGUUAGAAUCAGAUGUUAUUGCUAAAAUUUACAUGUUGUGUUGUGAUGUAAAUUGUGUAGAAAACCAUUAAAUCAUUCAAAAUAAUAAACUAUUUUUAUUAGAGAAUGUAUACUUUUAGAAAGCUGUCUCCUUAUUUAAAUACAAUACUGUUUGUCUGUAGUUUAGUGUUGGGGCAAUCUUGGGGGGGAUUCUUCUCUAAUCUUUCAGAAACUUUGUCUGCGAACACUCUUUAAUGGACCAGAUCAGGAUUUGAGCGGAAGAACGAAUGUAACUUUAAGGCAGGAAAGACAAAUUUUAUUCUUCAUAAAGUGAUGAGCAUAUAAUAAUUCCAGGCACAUGGCAAUAGAGGCCCUCUAAAUAAGGAAUAAAUAACCUCUUAGACAGGUGGGAGAUUAUGAUCAGAGUAAAAGGUAAUUACACAUUUUAUUUCCAGAAAGUCAGGGGUCUAUAAAUUGACAGUGAUUAGAGUAAUACUUUUUCACAUUUCCAAAGUUUGCAUGUUAACUUUAAAUGCUUACAAUCUUAGAGUGGUAGGCAAUGUUUUACAUUAUUGACCUUAUAUAGGGAAGGGAGGGGGUGCCUGUGGGUUUUUAAAGAAUUUUCCUUUGCAGAGGCAUUUCAUCCUUCAUGAAGCUGUUCAGGAUUUUGAAUUGCAUAUGAGUGCUUGGCUCUUCCUUCUGUUCUCCUAGUGAGUGUAUGAGACCUUGCAGUGAGUUUAUCAGCAUACUCAAAAUUUUUUUCCUGGAAUUUGGAGGGAUGGGAGGAGGGGGUGGGGCUUACUUGUUGUAGCUUUUUUUUUUUUUACAGACUUCACAGAGAAUGCAGUUGUCUUGACUUCAGGUCUGUCUGUUCUGUUGGCAAGUAAAUGCAGUACUGUUCUGAUCCCGCUGCUAUUAGAAUGCAUUGUGAAACGACUGGAGUAUGAUUAAAAGUUGUGUUCCCCAAUGCUUGGAGUAGUGAUUGUUGAAGGAAAAAAUCCAGCUGAGUGAUAAAGGCUGAGUGUUGAGGAAAUUUCUGCAGUUUUAAGCAGUCGUAUUUGUGAUUGAAGCUGAGUACAUUUUGCUGGUGUAUUUUUAGGUAAAAUGCUUUUUGUUCAUUUCUGGUGCUGGGAGGGGACUGAAGCCUUUAGUCUUUUCCAGAUGCAACCUUAAAAUCAGUGACAAGAAACAAAUUCCAAACAAGCAACAGUCUUCAAGAAAUUAAACUGGCAAGUGGAAAUGUUUAAACAGUUCAGUGAUCUUUAGUGCAUUGUUUUUGUGUGGGUUUCUCUCUCCCCUCCCUUGGUCUUAAUUCUUACAUGCAGGAACACUCAGCAGACACACGUAUGCGAAGGGCCAGAGAAGCCAGACCCAGUAAGAAAAAAUAGCCUAUUUACUUUAAAUAAACCAAACAUUCCAUUUUAAAUGUGGGGAUUGGGAACCACUAGUUCUUUCAGAUGGUAUUCUUCAGACUAUAGAAGGAGCUUCCAGUUGAAUUCACCAGUGGACAAAAUGAGGAAAACAGGUAAUAGCCUGCAGCUGGUGUUUUGAGAAGCCCUACUGCUGAAAACUUAACAAUUUUGUGUAAUAAAAAUGGAG